UUGCCAUCAGCAUCGGAGUCACAGUGUCAGCGGGGGAGAGAGAAGCUCAUUGUUUUCUUGAAGCCGAAGUCACUCUGCCCUCAGAUCACAGACAGACCCAUGGGGUUUGAUGAUUUGAUAGAAGAAGGAGAGAAGAAAGCCCGCUAUCAGGCACUCAGACAGAUGGAUGCUUUUUUGCCUUGCAACAAGCAAAAACAGCUCCGUCUCGAUGUGAAAGGAGAAGA